rnacentral:rRNA from 1 species
UAAAGUAAGUAAGGGCAGACGGCGGAUGCCUUGGCUCUAAGAGGCGAUGAAGGACGUGACAAGCUGCGAUAAGCUGUGGGGAUUGGCACAUACGACGUGAUCCACAGAUUUCCGAAUGGGGCAACCCAGUAGGUUUAACAGCCUACUACAUGCUAUGCAUGAGCAAACGUGGGGAACUGAAACAUCUAAGUACCCAUAGGAGAAGAGAACAAUUUAGUGAUUCCCUUAGUAGUGGCGAUCGAACGGGGACGAGCCCAAACCAUUCUUGUUUCGGCAAGAGUGGGGUUGUAGGACUACAACAUGUUACAGGCGGUAACGAGCAGAAGUGAGCUGGAAAGCUCCACCAUAGAGGGUGAUAGUCCCUUAUGCGAAGUGAAGGCUUGGCUAGUAGUAUCCUGAGUAGUGCGGGACACGUGCAAUCCUGUACGAAUCUGGGGGGUCCAUCCCCCAAGGCUAAAUACUCCUUAGAGACCGAUAGUGAGUUAUAUAUAGUAGACGCGAAACCAAGUGAUCUACCCUUGACCAGGUUGAAGUUCAGGUAACACUGAAUGGAGGACCGCACGGCAGAAUGUUGAAAAAUUCCCCGAUGAGUUGAGGGUAGGGGUGAAAGGCUAAUCAAACUUGGAAAUAGCUCGUACUCCCCGAAAUGCAUUUAGGUGCAGCCUUAGAGUUUAAAUAUAAGAGGUAGAGCGACUGAUUGGAUGCGAGGGCUUCGCCGCCUAUCAAGUCCAGACAAACUCCGAAUGCUUAUAUGUACACUCUAGGAGUGAGGGCAUGGGUGCUAAGGUCCAUGUCCGAGAGGAGAAGAAUCCGGACCAUCUGCUAAGGUCCCGAAAUGACAGCUCAGUUGACUUAAACGAGGUCACGAUGCAUAGACAGCUAGGAUGUUGGCUUGGAAGCAGCCAUUCAUUUAAAGAGUGCGUAACAGCUCACUAGUCGAGGAUUGUGGCAUGGAUAAUAAUCGGGCAUAAGUUGUCUACCGAAGCAGUGGAAUCAUUUAUGAUUGGUAGGGGAGCAUUCCAGCGUGGUUGAAGAUAGAUCGACGAGGUCUGUUGGACAUUCUGGAAGUGCAAAUGUAGGUAUAAGUAACGAUAAAGGGAGUGAGAAUCUCCCUCGCCGAAAGACUAAGGUUUCCUCCUCACCGUUCGUCGGAGGAGGGUUAGUCGGGACCUAAGGGUAAUCCGUUUGGUGAUCUCGAUGGAAGAAAGGGUUAAUAUUCCCUUACUCGGUAUGUUAAGUGAUGUGGAGACGGAGAAGUGACAGUCCUGCCUACUGUUGGAAUAGUAGGUUAAAGGGUGUAGAUGUUGAUCUUGGUAGGCAAAUCCGCCGAGAGAGUCGAACCUGAUAGUAUGUGAAUCCUUCGGGUGCAGCAAUAUGGACGUAAGCAGGCUCCCAAGAAAAUCCGCUAAACGUUAAUAGCAUAUCGACCCGUACCACAAACCGACACAGGUAGUUGGGUUGAGUAUACUAAGGCGCUCGAGUUAGCCGCGGUUAAGGAACUAGGCAAAUUGGUCCUGUAACUUCGGGAUAAAGGACGCCGUUGUGGCGACACAACGGCCGCAGAGAAUAGGCCCACGCGACUGUUUAUCAAAAACAUAUGGCUAUGCGAAUUAGAAAUAAGAAGUAUAUAGCCUGACACCUGCCCGGUGCUGGAAGGUUAAGAGGAGAGGUCAAACGUAAGUUGAAGCCUUGAAUUGAAGCCCCAGUAAACGGCGGCCGUAACUAUAACGGUCCUAAGGUAGCGAAAUUCCUUGUCGGGUAAGUUCCGACCUGCACGAAUGGUGUAA